GACGGAGGGAGCUAGCGUUGUUCGGAAUUACUGGGCGUAAAGCGCACGUAGGCGGCUUUGUAAGUUAGAGGUGAAAGCCCGGAGCUCAACUCCGGAACUGCCUUUAAGACUGCAUCGCUUGAAUCCAGGAGAGGUGAGUGGAAUUCCGAGUGUAGAGGUGAAAUUCGUAGAUAUUCGGAAGAACACCAGUGGCGAAGGCGGCUCACUGGACUGGUAUUGACGCUGAGAUGCGAAAGCGUGGGGAGCAAACAGG
rnacentral:rRNA from 1 species